GGAUAACCCGGGAAACUGGGUAUAUACCGAUAGAUCUCGACUGCUGGAAUGCAUCGAGCUCCAAAGCUCCGGCGCCUAAGGAUGGAUCUGCGGCCUAUCAGGUAGUAGUGGGUGUAGCGUACCUACUAGCUACGACGGGUACGGGUUGUGAGAGCAAGAGCCCGGAGAUGGAUUCUGAGACACGAAUCCAGGCCCUACGGGGUGCAGCAGGCGCGAAAACUUUACAAUGCCGGCAACGGCGAUAAGGGGACCUCGAGUGCCAGGUUACAAAUCUGGCUGUCGUGAUGCCUAAAAAGCAUUAUAUAGCAAGGGCCGGGCAAGACCGGUGCCAGCCGCCGCGGUAACACCGGCGGCUCGAGUGGUAACCGUUAUUAUUGGGUCUAAAGGGUCUGUAGCCGGCCGGAUAAGUCUCUUGGGAAAUCUGGCAGCUUAACUGUCAGGCUUUCAGGAGAUACUGUCUGGCUCGAGGCCGGGAGAGGUGAGAGGUACUUCAGGGGUAGGGGUGAAAUCUUGGAAUCCUUGAAGGACCACCAGUGACGAAGGCGUCUCACCAGAACGGACCUGACGGCAAGGGACGAAAGCUAGGGGCACGAACCGGAUUAGAUACCCGGGUAGUCCUAGCCGUAAACGAUACUCGCUAGGUGUCGGCCACGGUGCGACCGUUGUCGGUGCCGUAGGGAAGCCGUGAAGCGAGCC
rnacentral:rRNA from 1 species